CCUGGACUCUCCCAAGAGCAUAUGGCCCAGCCCCACCCUGCCCUGUAUAAAUAGUCCCUGGAGGGGAGGCAGUCAGUCUUCCUGUUCCUACUCUACACUCUCAGGUGCUCCCUCCGUGUGUCGUUUCCUGCUCUGGCCCCGUAAAGAUGCAUCCAGGUGGCAAGGGACAUUGCCAGGGUCAUUCUCACUGUGGGCCACCCCCUGGCCAUGGUCCAGGACACUGUCAUGGGGGACAUCACUCUCCAGGACAUGAUGGCCAUGGCCCAGGGCACUGUCAUGGGGGACAUCACCCUCCAGGACAUGGUGGUCCAUCCCAUGGCCAUGGCCCAGGGCACUGUCAUGGGGGACAUCACCCUCCAGGACAUGGUUGCCCAUCCCAUGGCCAUGGCCCAGGGCACUGUCAUGGGGGACAUCACCCUCCAGGACAUGGUGGUCCAUCCCAUGGCCAUGGCCAUGGGCACUGUGGCCCUCACCCUGGUCCACAUCACUGAGAAGUCAGAAGAAACGAAGACACAAGAUGAGGAGUCUGCGUGGAAUCUCCAGCUGACCCGGCACCGGGUCUAAACUAGAAUUUUCCCUUGCAAAUAAAUAGCCUCCUGGAGGCCAUAUUUGUUCUUGU